UAAGAAUGUGUCCCAGCUGAUCCCUGC
rnacentral:piRNA from 1 species